AUUGAACGCUGGCGGCAGGCUUAACACAUGCAAGUCGAGCGAGCGGCGGACGGGUGAGUAAUGUCUGGGAAACUGCCUGAUGGAGGGGGAUAACUACUGGAAACGGUAGCUAAUACCGCAUACCAUCAGAUGUGCCCAGAUGGGAUUAGCUAGUAGGUGGGGCAAUGGCUCACCUAGGCGUCGAUCCCUAGCUGGUCUGAGAGGAUGACCAGCCACACUGGAAAUGAGACACGGUGCAGACUCUGACGGGAGGCAGCAGUAGGGAAUAUUGAACAAUGGGCGCAAGUCUGAUACAGCCAUGCCGCGUGUGUGAAGAAGGCCGUCGGGUUGUAAAUCUCUUUCAGCGAGGAGGCGUUACUCGCGAAGAAAGCACGCGCUAACUCCGUGCCAGCAGCCGCGGUAAUUC
rnacentral:rRNA from 1 species